rnacentral:rRNA from 1 species
UACUGAUAAAACUCACACUAAUCCCACAAAUAAUUCACGAUUAUCAAACACUAACAUAUACUACAUAACAAACCAUUGUCCCCAUUUUAGUAUAGGUGAUAGAAAAUUACACAAUUUUAUAGUACCGCAAGGGAAAAAUGAAAAAGACAUGAAAUAAAUCAAUCAAGUAAAAUAAAGCAAAGAUAAAAUCUUGUACCUUUUGCAUCAUGGCUUAGCAAGCAAACCCGAAUUUACCGCCGCACCCCCGAAACUAGACGAGCUACCCUGGGAUUACAUUAAGAGUUAAUCCGUAUCUGUGGCAAAAGAUUGGAAAAAGCCCUGGGUAGAGGUGAAAAGCCUACCGAGCCUAGUGAUAGCUGGUUACUUAAUAAACAAGUUUAAGCUUGAUCUUAAUUCAUAGACCAGCAACACUAGCUAAAUAUUAAUAGCAACCAUCUACUCUCCUAUGUCUUAAGUUUUAUUCACUAGGGGUACAGCCCUAGUGAACAGAAAUACAACUCUAUUUAUUAGAUAAAUCUACUAAAAAUAAACUUCUGUAGGCCUAAAAGCAGCCUUCAAAAAGAAAAGCGUUACAGCUUAAGUUUAUUUCAUCAACAAAUACCACAAUACACCAAGAUCCUAUUAUUAUCUAUUAAGUAAACCUAUAUUUUAGGAAAUAUAAUGCUAAGAUUAGUAAUUUGUGAUUGUACCACUCUUUUAUGCAAGUAUAUCCCAGAUCGGACUACCCACUGGAAAUUAACGGUCCUUAAUACAAAAGGAACCCUCCCUUACACAACACACCAGAAAAACAAACCAUAACAACCGUUAACCCAACACUGGAGCAUACAAAAGAAGAUUUAAAGGGUGAGAAGGAACUCGGCAAAUAAAUGCCCCGCCUGUUUACCAAAAACAUCGCCUCUUGAAAUUUUAAACCUAAGAGGUAAAACCUGCCCAAUGAAAAACUUCAAUGGCCGCGGUACUUUGACCGUGUAAAAGUAGCGUAAUCAUUUGUCUUGUAAAUUAAGACUAGAAUGAAAGGUCACACGAGGGCAUUACUGUCUCCUUACCCAAAUCAAUGAAAUUGACCUACCCGUGCAAAGGCGGGUAUAAAUACAUAAGACGAGAAGACCCUGUGGAGCUUCCAAACAUUUAUGUCGAAUAAAUCCUCCCGACAUACAGUUUUAGGUUGGGGCAACCACGGAACAAAAGUAAUAUCCACGACAAUAUAAGCACAGCUCAUUAAACAUAGAGUGACAACUCAAUAAAUUAGUAAAACUAAUGUUAUUAGACCCAGCAAUAAUUGCUGAUUAACGAAACAAGUUACCCCAGGGAUAACAGCGCAAUCCUUUCCAAGAGCCCGAAUCAACGAAAGGGUUUACGACCUCGAUGUUGGAUCGGGGCACCCCAAUGGCGCAAAAGCUAUUAAAGGUUCGUUUGUUCAACGAUUAAAGCCCCACGUGAUCUGAGUUCAGACCGGAGUAAUCCAGGUCAGUUUCUAUCUAUGAAUAACUUUUCCUCAGUACGAAAGGACCAGAGAAACGAAGGCCAAUUCACUAAUGUAAGCCUUAUAGCCAUUUUAUAUAAUCAACUUAAAAAAAGUAGCUAACAAAAUAAAAAAAUAAAAUUAAUUU